rnacentral:rRNA from 1 species
UACAGAGGUCCCAAGCGUUGUUCGGAUUCACUGGGCGUAAAGGGUGCGUAGGUGGCCAGGUAAGUUUGGUGUGAAAGCCCGGAGCUCAACUCCGGAACUGCCAUUGAAACUGUUUAGCUUGAGGAUGAGAGAGGUGAGUGGAAUUCCCAGUGUAGAGGUGAAAUUCGUAGAUAUUGGGAAGAACACCGGUGGCGAAGGCGGCUCACUGGCUCAUUACUGACGCUCAGGCGCGAUAGCGUGGGGAUCAAACAGG